GUGCUUCCUUCGGCAUCGUAUACACUAAAAUUGGAACAAUACAGAGAAGAUGAAUAUGGCUCCUGCUCAAGGAUUUUUAAAAAUAAUUAAAAUGGGU
rnacentral:snRNA from 1 species